GUUAAAUGUUGAUGGUUUAGGGUUUAAAGUUGAAUUUUAGGGUUUAGGGUUUAGGAUUGAUGUUUAGGGUUUAGAGUUGAAGGUUUUGAGUUUAGGGUUUAGAGUUGAUGUUUUAGGGUUUACGUUUUAGAGUUGAUGUUUCAGGGUUUAGGGUUCGUAUUUCAAAAAAAAUAGGGUUUAUGAUUGAUGGUUUAGGGUUCAUAUUUU
rnacentral:lncRNA from 1 species